GUGACGCAAAUUCUUUGGGGUUUUGAUUCGGCUUUAAGGGAUUGCUUUGCUUCUGCUACUGUGUCUUUGUCUGUGAGAGAAAAAGUUUGUUCAGCCUCAGACCAAUUUCUUCACAAUCCCAAAAAUACCUUCUCGUCUUCUUCAGCUUGAGAAUGGAGUGAAACUAGGUUCCAUUGACCAGAGACUAUAGCCAUUGAAGAUGCUGUCAGAGUUCUAUUGCAUGGUUUAGGGGAGGAUAUUAAUAGAGAGGGUCUCAAGAAGACCCCUUUUCGUGUUGCCAAGUCACUUCGUGAAGGAACCAAAGGGAAAACAUUCAAAUUUCUGUAAUUGGAGAUUCCUCUA